GGAAGAUCGAUCAGGAAGAGAGAUCCACGAGUGAAGCUACCCACGUCGAUAGAUCUGGUGCCAGCGGAGGAAGACCAGUGGCAGGUCUGGUCUAUAGAGGCGGUGGAAAAACGGCAGAUGAGAAGAACCAGUCGGAAAUGUUGUCCAUCGAUCAAGAAGCUAUCGUUGGGUGAUUUUAAUAUCAUUCUCGCGGAUAUGUUCUAAUGCAAAAUGAAUUAGGCCCAACAUCACGUCUAAAAUGGUUUCAGUGACCAAGACUUUAGAAGAAGCAAUUGGCAGUCGACUGGUAUGUACACUUUAAAUCCACUUUACUCUAAUUUAAAACAUCAACAUCAAGUGUUGUUUGAUGGAAGACAUCAAGGUCUAGACUUAGAAUUUGAUUUUGUGUUAUGUGUUGCCUAAAGUAAGGGUUGAUCUAAAAUUAGGAGAGAAGUAAUAUUUAAUAAGAUUGAAAAAGGUUAAAUAUCUUAAAGUAAAAUCAGUUCUAGAUUUGUUCAUCUAUUUUUCGAAGAAAUCGUGAGAGAUAUUAUAUUCAAUAUCUAAAGAUUUACCAAUAUGGUUCAUUGAUUCAAAUCUUAUGUCUGCAACGUAAAUAAUUUCAAAUCAAGUUGAAAAGUAGAAGUUGAUUGUACAUUCUCAUAUGUGUUCAGUACAAUUUUAGAAUCAUUUCUUAUAUACAACCAUGAAAGAAAAUUGGUACACUGAAGGAAAAAACCACUUGAGGUAAAAAUUAAAAUACAUAAAGAAAGGGAAUUAAUUAUUUGUGUGGCUUUCCUUAUAAGUGAUUGCAUAUAAUGGAAAAUAAUUUUUGGAGUAAAAUUAAUUUAGCAUUUCUUCAUGAAAAACAAACAUGGUGUUUCAUUUUUUGAGUAAAAUUCAUUUUGAAUACAUUUUGCAUUUGUUUUCAAAAUGGUUCAUUGACUAAAUCAUCUAACUAAUGGCAUGAUUUAAUAGAUUUGAAAAAAAAAUCAGUAUAUUACAUUAUGUUAAGUAAAUUAGUGGAUUGAUUAAUGUUGGUUGCUAGAAGAGCUUUUUGUGGUAUAGUAGUUGUUGAUCAUCAAGUAUAAUGGAUUUAAGCUCAACGUUUCAAAUUUUUAUUUAUGGUAUGAGAAUUAAGAAAUUUUAUUUCAUUGCUACAUUUGAGCAUUGUAUUCAAUAUAUAUUUGAUUAGUAUAUAUUAUAAUAUUUCAUGAGUAGCAAAUGAUAUGUGCAAUAAAAAAAUAAUAGUAUUAUUGUAAUUGAAUUGUCUUCCAUACCUUAAAUGGGAUGCUAUUGUGAUCUACUUGAGCAUGUGUAUUAGCAUGUUAGCAUGAAUGAAAAUAAUAUUUCAUGUAUGUUAUAUUUAACAAAGUUUACGCAUAUUAAAUUGUCAUAUUUGGCCAUUAAUUUUCAUGAAGUUGAAAAGUAUUAUUAUUACUUUUUAAAUUGAGUGUGACCCUAUACCAUUAUUUUGAUUAUCACUUAGCUUGUUUGUGGUACGAAAAUAUGUAAAUUCCAUCAUUUUUAUUUGGAAGCUUGUAGAAUUGAUGGUAAUCUGAAAUAUUGUCUAAGCUAUAAAAUAUGUGGAUAUUUUAUAAGAACUUUUCAUGGAUAUAUAAGUUAGAACAACUAUCUCUAUUGGUAUGAGGCUUUUAGGGUCAAAAUAAAUACAUUACCAUACUUUUGUGAAAAUAUUUGCAUAGUUGUUAUCCUUAAUAAGUGGUAUUAGAGUUAUGCCCCUAGUUUAGCUAUGUUGAACAAAGAUGUAGUGGAGCCUCAAAAGUAUGUUAUGGUAUGAUCUAUAGUUGAACUCUGUCAGAUAGGCCGUGUGUCCUAGUGAAGAGGAGUUAGCCUAGACAAGAGUGAGACAAAUGAAUUGCUAUUUGAGGGGAGACUUGGUGAUCCUUUGUUUGAGGGGAGAAAUAUUGGAAAUGCGACCAAAGUUCCACAUUGGUUAGAUAAGGAGAUGAUCAUCACAUUUAGUAGAUAAGGAGAUGAUCAUGGAUAAUAUUUAAUUUCAAUUGAUUAAAAGUACGCAUGUCUAGGAUCUUGAAAAGAGAAAAGUAAGAUUGAUGAUUUAUUGUUGUUAUGUGAUUUAGCAACUUAUGAAGAAACAUUAUGAAUUAAACAUGGAUUUAGUAGAAUUUUUUAAAGGAAAUAAACCACUUAAGUUUAAAUGGAUCUUCAAAUAUUUUGAUGCAUAUUCUCAUAUGACUAAAAUAUUUAAAAUAUCUAUUAUAAAACUCUGAUAGUAUUUAUAUAAUACAUCACAUGGAUAUAAAGAAGUCAUUUACUCAAGUUAUUUGAGCUAAUUAUGUGAAUAUUUGUAAAUAUCCUUUGAUACAUGUAUUUAUGCAAAAUUAUUUGAGCUAAUGGUGUGAUAUACUGAUCUUUGGUACAAACAUAAAUGUAAGUAAUGAUACUAAGUUCUUUAUAUCCUCACAAUUUGAAAUGUAAGAUUUAGGUGAAGGUAAUGUGAUACUUAAUGUUAAGAUAAAGCAAACUAAAAAUGGUUUUUCUUUAUAUUAAUUACACAUUGAAAAAUGCUCCUGUAAGAAUACCUUAUGAUACUAGUAUGGGUCCUAAGAAAAAUAAGGAAGAUGUGUGUUUUGAUCUGAAUAUGCAAAAAUUAUAAGAAUUGUUAUGUUUUUUUUUUAUGAACUAUACUAAACCUAUCAUUGUAUAUGUUCUGAGAAGAUGAAUAGAUAUACACAUAAUCCUGAUAAAAAUCAUUUAAUUACUCUUCGUAUGUUGUGAUUACGUAUGUUGUGAUUGCAUAUUUUGUUAGAAGGGUAGUGUAUGCAAACUGAGUAACAUAGAAUGAUGAAGUACACUUUACUAAUGGAUAUGUGUUCUUAUUGGGUAGAGAAGCUAUUUCAUGGAAGCGUGAAUUUAUUGCUCUGGAAUUAGUAGGACAUUAGUUUGAGUGGCUUAAAAACCAACUGGGAGAUGCACCAUUAUGGGGGACAUUAGUAUGAGUGGCUUAAAAACCUAUGUGGAGAUGUACUAGACAUUAGUAUGAGUGGCUUAAAAGCCAACUAGGAGAUGCAUCAUUGUGAGGGACAUCAGUAUGAGUGGCUUAGAAGCCUACUACAAGAUGUACCAUUGUGGGAGGGCAUUAUACCUAUCUCUUUGCAUUGUGUACCAUUCUACGCUUUAGACAUGGAGCUGUGAACCAAUUGUGAAAGGCGGAUUAUUUCAUUGUAAGGUUUGAGAGGAAUUUUACAGAUCCUCUCACUAAAGACAUAACAAGGAGAGUAAUUCUAGAAUUUUCAACAAGUAUGAGACUCCAACCAUUAUAGUGGUCCAUAGCCCUUUAUCUAAGUGGUCUAUUGUAAUAGACUUGAUGGUCCAUGGCCUUUUAUCUAGAUUGUCUAGGUUGUCUAUUGCGAUAGACUUGAUGGUCCACAACUUUUCAUUUGGAUGGUCCUAGUACGGACUUGAUUGACAAAACUAAAAUAUUUAAAAAUUCCAUAGCUCUUCCUUUAGGUGGUCCUAGCAUGGACUUGAUGGAUAAUGGUAAAAUUUUCAUAGCUCAGUUUUUGAAUGGUUUGUCUUUGACAGACUUGAUGGAGUUGGUCUCCUGGUAUGGAUUAUAUAUGUCAUAGCUCAGUUUUGAACGGUCUAUUGCGAUAGACUUGAUGAAGCAAUUAAUGUGAUUGUGAAGGUGUGACCGCCUUCUAUGGAAAAGUUUAAAGGUAUUUUUCUAGAGCUUUCACGUUGAUUCGAGGUUCUAUGUGCAUGGCUUUAAAUAGCACGCUCUUAUCACGGAAUCGAUAGAAAUUUAAGGAAUGAAACGUAUUGUAUGGGUCUCGACCAUAGUUAUUGAAAAUUCAAGAGGUAACUCACUCUCUCUAAUCAACUUGUUGCUCUACUUCACUAUGUAUUAAUUCAUAUUGAAAGAUGUUGAGGUUUAA